AGCUAAGCAGGGUCGGGCCUGGUUAGUACUUGCAUGGGAGACCACCUAGGAAGACCAGGUGCUGUAGGCA
rnacentral:rRNA from 1 species